UACGAAGGGGGCUAGUGUUGCUCGGAAUCACUGGGCGUAAAGCGCACGUAGGCGGGUGGUUAAGUCAGGGGUGAAAUCCCGGAGCUCAACUCCGGAACUGCCUUUGAUACUGGCCAUCUAGAGAUCGGAAGAGGUGAGUGGAAUUCCCAGUGUAGAGGUGAAAUUCGUAGAUAUUGGGAAGAACACCGGUGGCGAAGGCGGCUCACUGGCUCAUAUCUGACGCUCAGGCGCGACAGCGUGGGGAUCAAACAGG
rnacentral:rRNA from 1 species